rnacentral:rRNA from 1 species
CAGUCGCCACGGGAAUACGUAGGGUGCAAGCGUUAAUCGGAAUUACUGGGCGUAAAGCGUGCGCAGGCGGUUCGUUAAGACAGAUGUGAAAUCCCCGGGCUUAACCUGGGAACUGUAUUUGUGACUGGCGGGCUAGAGUAUGGCAGAGGGGGGGUAGAAUUCCACGUGUAGCAGUGAAAUGCGUAGAGAUGUGGAGGAAUACCGAUGGCGAAGGCAGCCCCCUGGGCCAAUACUGAUGCUCAUGCACGAAAGCGUGGGGAGCAAACAGGAUUAGAUACCCCUGUAGUCCCUGUCUCUUAUA